rnacentral:tRNA from 1 species
UCCCUGGUGGCUCAGGUGGUAAGUAUCUGCCUGCAAUGCGGGAGACCCAGGUUCAAUUCCUGGGUUGGGAA